rnacentral:rRNA from 1 species
GAUGAACGCUGGCGGCGUGCCUAAUACAUGCAAGUCGAACGGACAGACGAUGCGCUUGCUCGUUUCACGUUAGCGGCGCGCGGGGGUGUCACACGUGGAUCACCCACCUAUAUGACUGGGAUCACUUCGGGAAACCGGCGCUUAUCCCGGAUAAUCUAUUGAAGCACAUGGUUCAAUAGUGAAAGACGGCUUUGCUGUAUCUACUCGCUGCUUCCGGGCCGCAUUAGCUGGUUGGUACGCUCACGGCUUAUCAAGGCUACCAUGCGUAGCCGAGCUGAGGGAGUGAUCGGCCACAUUGGAACUGGAACAGGGUCCAGACUCCUACGGUAGGCAGCAGUAGGGAAUGUGACGCAAUGGGCGAGAGCCUUGCACAGCGAGGGCGCGUCUGUGAUGAAGGCGUUCGGAUCGUAAAGCUCGGUUACGAGGGAUGAACAGAUUUGGAAGUAACUGUGCACUUAUUGACGGUACCGGAUCAAGAAGCACCGGCUAACUACGUG